CCACUGCCGUACCUCCACGUGAUUCCGUUCUUCUCCUUGAGCCCUUGACUUUUUAUAAGGAGUGACCUGGAAGACCUCAGAGAAGAAACCCUAAGAGUACAGAAGAUUGUUUUCCUUUCAGAGAUUAGAAAACUGAGACUCAAGAGACCAGACUCAAGUAACCAGACCAAGUCACGCAGCUGUUAAGUAAUAUGCCAUGGCAACAAAGGGCCUUGUGCUCACUACAGCAGAGCGUCCUGUCUUUGUCCAAUCCAGCCCUGUACAACAGUCUCUGCAAAUAACAAAAGAUGUGGCCACUCGGCCGCCUGUCAGUGCUCCCACCAGAGCACUGAGAAAGGCUGAGGCCUCUCCAACUGGAACUGAACUAGGAGAGCAGCAGACAGGUACAUAUCUGGUAACCCAGAGCAGGGCUUACAAAAGAGAGGUCAUGCUUAAUAAACCUGAUUAAUUUC